UCCUUGCCCUUUCUGGCUGAUUAAAUCAGUCAGGUGAGGUUGGAUGAUGAUCAAUAUCUUCCUGUGCAGAGUGUUAUGUCCUACAGAAGACCUUUACUGAAAAAGCUUUUCCUUCAUCCAGAACAUUAUUCCAAUUAUAGGUCAGCACAAAAAGAAAACCAAUGACCACUCAUUCAGCAAUCAUUUGAAGUUGUGCCAGCACUGAAUGAAGAGACUUGUGAUUGGUCCUAGAGGUUAUGCCUGGCAGUCCCAGUACCAUGAUUUGGCCAUUUGGUAACAGAACACAAUUAUGAUGGUCAUAUUGUCUCACAGUCACUUGAUCACUAUUUGUGAGCUUAAUUCCAGGCUUUCAACAAGCAAAGUCAAUGGGGAAACUGGCAAGAAAUUGUAACUCAUGGUCAUAUGACAUCACACAGAAGGGCUACAUGGAAUUUGCUUAAUCACUACAAUCAGACCUGCCAUCAUCAGUUGGUCACAUGGCCAUGUGAUUAUUUUUUAUUUUUAUCUGCUUUAUUACACAUCACUUAGUGAUUGAA